CCCUGAGCAUCCCCCAGGCGGAGUCUCUGACCGCGCUGGCUCGAUCAGUGAUCUCGCGGAGAAACCCCCCGAAUGUGCUCGAACGCAAAGCCUCCGUGUGCUCGGAGACUGGCAGAGCUGAGCACAGCCACGGGUGAAAACAGCACCCCAGGAGAAAAGCAGCGAAGGACUAGACAGGAAAAGGAAGAGGUACCGGCAGCCCCUGACAUCGAUGCACCACCUCUGUGCUUGUAAGAAAUCCUGAUUUGCUCCUCAAAACUCAGUGCCUGAACUUUGCCUUGAAGCUGCUCAUCUUCAUCACACAGUACAGGAACAGAAAAAAAAAAAACGCUCUGAAACAGAUACAAAAGAACCUUCUUGCAACAUUCUGGUGCUAAGCUUCUGUAAUUAUCUUUCUGAUUUUGAAGAAGGUAAGGAAGUAGUCUAUAGUUGAAAUUGGGUACAAGAAUACUGAUCUAUGAAGAAAACCCAGUUUUGCCCAUGUACCAGAGGUGAAACAAUAACAGCUCUGCUAAAAGAGU